GUUUUUAUAGUUGAACACAACGCUGGUUUUUCAGGUCAGAGGUCUUGGUUAAAGUCCAGGUGAGAAUA
rnacentral:tRNA from 1 species